UUUGUGGCCUGGUGUCGGAGUUUCGCUGGUCAAGACGGGCGAGCUCCCAGGGUGAGGCGCGAGCAUUGCACUGCGCUCGUGUUGACCCCUGCCACUACCCCAAACAGGGGCAGAUGGGGCAUGUAAUUUUUGGUAGUGGGGGGACUGCGUGCGCGCUUUCCCCCC
rnacentral:snRNA from 1 species